UAGAGUUUGAUCCUGGCUCAGAUUGAACGCUGGCGGCAGGCCUAACACAUGCAAGUCGAACGGUAGCACAGAGAGCUUGCUCUCGGGUGACGAGUGGCGGACGGGUGAGUAAUGUCUGGGAAACUGCCUGAUGGAGGGGGAUAACUACUGGAAACGGUAGCUAAUACCGCAUAACGUCGCAAGACCAAAGAGGGGGACCUUCGGGCCUCUUGCCAUCAGAUGUGCCCAGAUGGGAUUAGCUAGUAGGUGGGGUAACGGCUCACCUAGGCGACGAUCCCUAGCUGGUCUGAGAGGAUGACCAGCCACACUGGAACUGAGACACGGUCCAGACUCCUACGGGAGGCAGCAGUGGGGAAUUUUGGACAAUGGGCGAAAGCCUGAUCCAGCAAUGCCGCGUGUAUGAAGAAGGCCUUCGGGUUGUAAAGUACUUUCCGCGGGGAGGAAGGUGUUGUGGUUAAUAACCACAGCAAUUGACAUUACCCGCAGAAGAAGCACCGGCUAACUCCGUGCCAGCAGCCGCGGUAAUACGGAGGGUGCAAGCGUUAAUCGGAAUUACUGGGCGUAAAGCGCACGCAGGCGGUCUGUCAAGUCGGAUGUGAAAUCCCCGGGCUCAACCUGGGAACUGCAUUCGAAACUGGCAGGCUAGAGUCUUGUAGAGGGGGGUAGAAUUCCAGGUGUAGCGGUGAAAUGCGUAGAGAUCUGGAGGAAUACCGGUGGCGAAGGCGGCCCCCUGGACAAAGACUGACGCUCAGGUGCGAAAGCGUGGGGAGCAAACAGGAUUAGAUACCCUGGUAGUCCACGCCGUAAACGAUGUCGACUUGGAGGUUGUGCCCUUGAGGCGUGGCUUCCGGAGCUAACGCGUUAAGUCGACCGCCUGGGGAGUACGGCCGCAAGGUUAAAACUCAAAUGAAUUGACGGGGGCCCGCACAAGCGGUGGAGCAUGUGGUUUAAUUCGAUGCAACGCGAAGAACCUUACCUACUCUUGACAUCCAGAGAACUUUCCAGAGAUGGAUUGGUGCCUUCGGGAACUCUGAGACAGGUGCUGCAUGGCUGUCGUCAGCUCGUGUUGUGAAAUGUUGGGUUAAGUCCCGCAACGAGCGCAACCCUUAUCCUUUGUUGCCAGCGGUCCGGCCGGGAACUCAAAGGAGACUGCCAGUGAUAAACUGGAGGAAGGUGGGGAUGACGUCAAGUCAUCAUGGCCCUUACGAGUAGGGCUACACACGUGCUACAAUGGCGCAUACAAAGAGAAGCGAACUCGCGAGAGCAAGGGGACCUCAUAAAGUGCGUCGUAGUCCGGAUUGGAGUCUGCAACUCGACUCCAUGAAGUCGGAAUCGCUAGUAAUCGUAGAUCAGAAUGCUACGGUGAAUACGUUCCCGGGCCUUGUACACACCGCCCGUCACACCAUGGGAGUGGGUUGCAAAAGAAGUAGGUAGCUUAACCUUCGGGAGGGCGCUUACCACUUUGUGAUUCAUGACUGGGGUGAAGUCGUAACAAGGUAACCUCAGUCAGUCA
rnacentral:rRNA from 1 species